AGAUAGCGGCGAGUGAAGAGGGAAGAGCCCAAGAUUGAAAGCUGGCGUCUUCGGCGUCCGCAUUGUAAUCUCAAGAAGUGUUUUCCGCUUCGGACCAUGCCUAAGUCCCUUGGAAAAGGGCAUCAUAGAGGGUGAUAAUCCCGUACAUGGCAUGGAGCGCCCGAAGCUUUGUGAUACGCUUUCUAAGAGUCGAGUUGUUUGGGAAUGCAGCUCAAAAUGGGUGGUAAAUGCCAUCUAAGGCUAAAUAUUGGGGAGAGACCGAUAGCGAACAAGUACAGUGAUGGAAAGAUGAAAAGAACUUUGAAAAGAGAGUUAAACAGUACGUGAAAUUGCCAAAAGGGAAGGGUAGGAGGUCAGAGAUGCGGCCUGGGAUUCAGCCUUGCUUUUGCUUGGUGUUUUUCCCAGAUUGCAGGCCAACGUCGGUUUUGGGCACUGGAGAAGGGUAGGAGGAACGUGGCACCUCUCGGGGUGUGUUAUAGCCUCCUACUGGAUACAGCGACCGAGACCGAGGACAGCAGCGUACUCGCAAGAGCGGGCCUUCGGGCACCUUUACGCUUAGGGCGUUGGCAUAAUGGGCCCUCUACCACCCGUCUG
rnacentral:rRNA from 1 species